rnacentral:rRNA from 1 species
AGACGAAGGUGGCAACCGUUGUUCGGAAUCACUGGGCAUAAAGCGCACGUAGGCGGGAAAGCAAGUCGGGUGUGAAAUCCCUCGGCCCAACCGAGGAACUGCGCCCGAAACUGCUUUUCUUGAGGACAGAAGGGGAGCGUGGAAUUCCUGGUGGAGCGGUGAAAUGCGUUGAUAUCAGGAGGAACACCGGCGGCGAAGGCGACGCUCUGGUCUGUUUCUGACGCUAAGGUGCGAAAGCCAGGGGAGCAAACGGGAUUAGAAACCCCAGUAGUCC